UCCAGACUCCUACGGGAGGCAGCAGUGGGGAAUAUUGCACAAUGGGGGAAACCCUGAUGCAGCGACGCCGCGUGAGUGAAGAAGUAUUUCGGUAUGUAAAGCUCUAUCAGCAGGGAAGAAAAUGACGGUACCUGACUAAGAAGCCCCGGCUAACUACGUGCCAGCAGCCGCGGUAAUACGUAGGGGGCAAGCGUUAUCCGGAUUUACUGGGUGUAAAGGGAGCGUAGACGGUUGUGCAAGUCUGAAGUGAAAGCCCGCGGCUCAACCCCGGGACUGCAUUUGGAACUGUAAGGCUAGAGUGUCGGAGAGGCAGGCGGAAUUCCUAGUGUAGCGGUGAAAUGCGUAGAUAUUAGGAGGAACACCAGUGGCGAAGGCGGCCUGCUGGACGAUGACUGACGUUGAGGCUCGAAAGCGUGGGGAGCAAACAGGAUUAGAUACCCGGGUAC
rnacentral:rRNA from 1 species